GACGUACCACCCAAACGUUAUUCGGAAUCACUGGGCUUAAAGAGUCCGUAGGCGGUCAGGAAAGUUGGGUGUGAAAUACCUCAGCUCAACUGAGGAAUUGCGCUCAAAACUACCUGGCUCGAGAAAGACAGAGGUGAGCGGAACUGAUGGUGGAGCGGUGAAAUGCAUUGAUAUCAUCAGGAACACCGGUGGCGAAAGCGGCUCACUGGGUCUUUUCUGACGCUGAGGGACGAAAGCUAGGGGAGCGAACGGG
rnacentral:rRNA from 1 species